GGCGUCUCGCAGCGCGCUGUGCGGCCGCUACACCGCGCCCGAGCUGGCCGCGGCGCUGCUGGCCGCCGCCAUCGUCGCCGUGUGGGUGCUCACGGGCCACUGGCUGCUCAUGGACGCGAUGGGCAUGGGGCUGUGCGUGACGUUCAUCGCGCUGAUCCGGCUGCCGUCGCUCAAGGUGUCCACGCUGCUGCUCACCGGCCUGCUGCUGUACGACGUGUUCUGGGUGUUCUUCUCCUCCUACAUCUUCACCACCAACGUCAUGGUCAAGGUUGCUACCAGGUGAGUGCUACACCUACUUGACUAUUUGAAUCGAUACUAAUAUUAUAAAUGUGAAAGUGUGUGUGUCUGUCACGGCAAAACGGAGCGACGAAAUGACGUGAUUUUUUAAGUGGAGAAAGGAUGGGGAGUGACAUAGGCUACUUUUUAGUCUCUCUAACCCCCAUUUCCCUGGAUGUUUGGAGGGUGGAAGUUUGGAUGGAGCAUUUGUAGGGUAGGGUAGCGGAGGGGUAGGAGUAGGUUAGGGGUAGGGAAGGAGCGCACGGCGCGGUCAAGCUAAGCGGUUAAGCGGUCCGGACCCAAUCUUCGCUUGACCGGUAGUUAAAUUAUAUAAAGAGCAACAUAAUUGAUCUUUACAUAAUUUUAUGUCUUUCUUUCUUCUCAGCAAUUCCGAGUCCAGAGUAGGAAAGUUGAUGGCGUUAUAAUUUUUCGGUAUAAUAGGCAGUGUAGACGGCCUAUUAUACCCAAAAAUUAUAACGUUUAUUCAAACUCCUGUUUAUUGUCGGUUUCGUGUCAAAAAUUAAAAAAGUUACGCAACUAUAGUGGUGGGUCCCACGGAUCCACACGUACAGCAAUACUCACCUUUGUAGUAAAGAGUGAAGCAUGUUCAUUUUUCUCAAAGUACUUUGGCGUAUUUUUGGAAGGUGCCUAGGAGCAGGAGGCGAUGAUGCACACGUCGUGUUGUUUACACACGUUUAAUAAUUCAACAUGGCUCCAGUGGACUCACGACUAUAGGUUAAGUUGCACCGGGACCGGGUAAGAGCUGGACGGAGAUAUUAUUAAAUAAAAUCCGGUGAGAUAAAAAUAUAAUUUGUAUUCAAUAAUUUAAUCUAAAAUACUAGCUCGCGGUAGGCA
rnacentral:lncRNA from 1 species